UACGUAGGGUGCGAGCGUUGUCCGGAAUUAUUGGGCGUAAAGGGCUCGUAGGCGGUUUGUCGCGUCGGGAGUGAAAACCCAGGGCUUAACUCUGGGCUUGCUUUCGAUACGGGCAGACUAGAGGUAUGCAGGGGAGAACGGAAUUCCUGGUGUAGCGGUGGAAUGCGCAGAUAUCAGGAGGAACACCGGUGGCGAAGGCGGGUCUCUGGGCAGUAACUGACGCUGGAGGAGCGAAAGCGUGGGGAGCAAACAGG
rnacentral:rRNA from 1 species